ACACGCAUGACACACUGCAUAUCAAUAAGCGGAGGAAAAGAAACUAACAAGGAUUCCCUUAGUAACGGCGAGUGAAGCGGGAAGAGCUCAAAUUUGAAAUCUUCAAGGUUCUACCUUGACGAAUUGUAGUUUAUAGAAGUGUUUUCUGUUAGUGGAGUGGCAAAAGUUCUUUGGAAUAGGACAUCAUAGAGGGUGAGAAUCCCGUAUUUGGUCAUUCCUCCUAGCGUCGUGAUACACUUUCAACGAGUCGGAUUGUUUGGGAAUGCAGUCCAAAAUGGGUGGUAAAUUUCAUCUAAAGCUAAAUAUUGGCGAGAGACCGAUAGCGAACAAGUACCGUGAGGGAAAGAUGAAAAGAACUUUGAAAAGAGAGUUAAACAGUACGUGAAAUUGUCAAAAGGGAAGCGUUUGACACCAGUGUUGUUUUUCCGAAAAUCAAUUACGAAUGUUUUAUUUUUGAGGAGUUAUGACUUCAUCGGCUUGCUCCUUUCUUUAUGAAACUUUCUUAAUGCACUUUUCGGUUAACAAGUCAACAUCAAUUUCUUUUGUUGUAAAAGGGUAUGAGGAAGGUGGCUUUCUUUUCGGAGAAAGUGUUUAUAGCCUUGUACCUCUGCAAUCGGAGAGAUUGAGGUCUGCAGCGUAGAUCCUUCGGGGUUAGAUACAUUUGUGCUAAGUUAUAGCUUUUCAUAGACAACUUGUUGACUAUGUUAAGUCUUGUAGCUUACUCGCUUACGCUAUUUUACCUACGCUUAGGAUGUUGACGAGACUGUCGAUCUC
rnacentral:rRNA from 1 species